rnacentral:sRNA from 1 species
UUUCAAUGGCAGAUAAAUAGGACUAUAUAGCUAGA